rnacentral:tRNA from 1 species
GGGGAAAUAGUGUAGGGGUUAUCGCGUCUGCUUUGCAUGCAGAAGGUCCGGGGUUCAAUUCCCCGUUUCUCCA